AUUUUCAAAGUGAACGAAUCCAGAUCGGGAAAUUCUUCUUCUUUUUUAUGUGUUUCUGUACUUGUUGGUAUUUGAUUCGAAACUGUUGUGGUAUACGAAAAUGUCUUUGUUAACCAAGAAAAGAACCGAUCUGGAUUUCUUUUGUACUUUUUAUGUGGUGCUGUACUGAUUAGUAGUUUAUUUGAAAAUGUUGUGUGUCUUAUUAGGCAUUAAUCUCUUGUGAAUUAUUAGGCAUUUUUUUCAUAAUAGUUUCCAGUUACUCGAUGAAUAAUUAUUGUUUUUUGAGUUUUUUUUGGUUCUGUUGUUCGAAAAUUUAUCAAGCAAGGGGUGUUGCUUACAAGAUGACGAUAGACAAAGGGAAGAAGAAAUGUUUACCAGUAUCGAUUUAACGUUUAUACACUGCAUUAUUAUAAUUAGCUUGAAAAAUUCACAUAAUGUGAAGGCUUUUUUUUUGUUCAGUGCGUACACCUACUCGAAAGAAAUUAAGGGGGAAAUGGAGAACCAAAAAAAAAUGCAAAUACUGAUGACGGUAAAAAGAUAAUUUGUUCAUUUAUUUGGUGAAAGGUGUUCUUAAUUAUUACAAGCUUAUUCGUUUUAUAACCUCUCUUGAAUUAUCUGAUUUUCUCCAAUUUUCCAGUAAAUUGAAUUUGUAUUCUAAAUUUAAUUAUGGUUAUUCGUUAAUUUGAGUUUAGCUAUUCUUUAUUAUAUUUAUAACCUCAUGAUCUUGCAUAACUAUGGGAAAAAGAAUUUGUAAUAACUAUGAAGAUAUUCAUUAAUAAAUGAAUGUUAUUCGCUAAGUUAGUGUAUUUUAAUUGUCAAGUAUGUCAACUGUUAGAUAAACAUAUGUGAAUGAAUAUUUGAUGAAAAAACUCUAUUAAUGAAUGGUUUCUGUUAAUUCUAGUAUGUUAUUUAUACUUAGUUGUUAUUGUUAAUGAUUUGAAAAACAUAUUGAGGAUGAUGACUAAUUUUGCAUGUUUAUUUGACAGAUUUUGUCGAGGAACUAAAUACCCAAAGCUCAAAACCCGAAGCACACAUGCUGCAUUUUACAAGAAGUUGCGAGAUCUGAACGAGGCACAACGUGAAGCUGUUCGUUCCAUUGGAUUUGGGAGGAUCCUGGAUUUUACAAUCAAAGAUAUGCCUUAAAAGCUAGCUUACUAGAUUAUAGACAAAUAAAACUCUCAGAGUAUUCGUUUUUUUCUAAGAUCAAGUAUUCAUUUUUUUAAAAAGCACAUUCAUCUUUCUUUACUAAACACAUAUUUCAUAAAUAUGUGUGUGACGAAUAUUGUUGGGACGUAUGGGGCAACACAAAUCAUACGAAUCAUCAAUAUAACCGGUUAUAGAAAUUUC
rnacentral:lncRNA from 1 species